UUUCUUCUCUGGAGAAGCUCCCCUAUCCGCACAUACCCCAUUUAUACGGAAAUUCGGUUUUUUACCCCUCCGCCAAAGUAAUCGGUAUACACACCAGUUAAGUGACCUUCUGCACCUUGAGGAAAUUAAAUAGUUAAGAGAAUAUUCAUAUGUACAUAUACUGAAUUCAAUUAAGUGAAAAAUACACACCGAAGUUACUCUCCGUUAUUGAAAAACAAUUACACCGUUUAAAAUAAAGAAUAAUAAUAUACGGUACCUAGUUGUACAAAAUUCGAAUAAUAUUAUACUAAUUAAAGAAAGGUACUAUCUGAAACAGAGUAUAAAUUUUAAAGAGUUUCCAGAAACUCAACAAGUAUAGAAAACGUCUAAAAUAAAAUAUUAUACGUUCUUUGCAAAAUAUUCUAGUAGAUAAUUCAAGUGGAGCUCUUCUUAACAGCAAGGCACAAUGUACAAUUUACUAUUAACACAAUUCUUUGAACUGAUUCCGGAUAAUGUAUUAAAAACUCUUUACGGAGCUUUGUAUAACAUAAAAUAACAGUAGAAAAGGUAGUCACUCAGCCAUUACUUGAACUCUGCAAAUAGCGCAAGUGUCGCACUCAACAUCCCAGCUCCACAUAGCCACAGCAUUCCACUUCUUCAACGUAAACAUUUUAUCCGGUUUACCUCCGUCAUUAUCGUUGAAUUGUUUGUCCAUGGAACUUUCAAUAUCCUCACCAUCAACCAUUGCUUACAAAACUUCCUUGAACCGCCAGUAAUAAAGUUUAUUGCAAUGUUAAAAAUUCAAUUCCGAGAAGAGGGUGAUGCUGACACAAUAGAAAACAAAACAUAGGGUUCACUAGCGUUAAAUAUUUCGUUGAAAUGGUGUGCGUCAAAGAUAUAUUCGCAAAAUUUUUGUCACAUUACCCAGCAGUAGCAGCUAUACAAACUCCAAAAUAUUGAAAGAACUAAUGUGGAAAACUUACGCAUACACACCGCGCCACCGAUAAUACGUUUACGUUAGAAAUUGUUGUUAAAAUUGUCAAUUGGAUCUUAAGAAACUCAUAGAAACUUUAUUAGAAUCGCCGGUAGCGCAGUUGUGUAAUUAACAGGUGAUUCAAUGUUCAUAUGAAGUUUGAUCUCCAAAUGUCAAUUAGUAUGUGUUUGGCAGCUGUUUGUUGACGACGUGAAGUUAAAAUUGAACAACGGUUUGCUUGAAAAACAUUCAAUGAAGGUCGUGACGUCAUCGAAGAUUUGCUUCAAACCAGUGGUUCAUCCACUUCUGCUAUAGUCGAUAACAUCGAAAAAAUGUAAGAAAUAGUGCUUAAAAGUCGUUGUGUUGGCACCAGAGGCUUUCAACAUCUCUUAUAGAUCGACUCCAAAAAUUUUGGUUAAUGUUUUGGGUAUGGUGUGCAUUCAAUGACAGACUGGUACGAAAAUACCUGAAUCUUUUGCGAAAACCACGUGGAGAAGAGGCUGAAGACCUUACAUUAUUCAAACACAUCGUUGCUGGUGUCGAGUCUAGUGAGUAGAGGGAAUGACGCGGCAAAAAUUAGCGCAAGCCGAAAAAAAAACAAAAUUCGUUAAAGGCCAUCUCAACCAGGACAUUAAACAAGUGUAUGGAAAAUAAUAGCAGUGUUACUCGCUCGAGAGUCUAUAUUGAAGGCGACAAUAAAGAUUUGUACCUACAUAAAUACGGUUUUUUUGUCAGUCCAGGUGAACUUUAAUCAAAUGAACAAAUGUAAAGCAUGACACAAUUCCGAUUUCUUUGGCGCCGCGAUUUGAAGGUACCUUUGGAAAGAGGAAGUCCUCCUGAUUAAAAAAUAUAUAGGGUUAUAGGUACCGCAAACGUUUAGUUUACGAGAUAUUCGACCUUAAAGUUCAAAAAUUCCCAAAAUUCGAACAUUUCAACAAGCUAUUUUACCACAUUAAACACACUUUACUCACAUUUUUCAUUUCAAAUUAAUUAAAUUAAACUAUAAACUUUUAAAUAAAUCCAUAUUUUACACUUUUAACAGUCUUUUUACUGAAGAAAUCUUUAUUUUAAAAAUUACAUCUUACACUCGUAGUGAACAUCAUGUGUGUGCUAAAAAUUACGACGAAAUGGAGCGCUGCCAUGUGAUAAUAAGGAAAUUCGCUGAAAUGCCUUUUUUCCCAAAAAUUCCUCGAUUCAUUCAUGUGGAUAUGUUCUUUAUUUAAUUUAAUAAACAAAUAAGCAAUAUUAUAUAGUAAUAUUAUAUAAUAAUAUUAUAUACAUAUACAAUAUACAUCACCUAAUAUACAAAAAAACGUAUUAUCAAAAAUAAAUGGUAAGCGCUGACAGAUAUAAUAACCAAAAUUUAACCAUUUUAUAACGAAAACUCAAAUAUUGUUUCAAUAUCAGUGCAAGAUAACCAAAAAAUAUAACCACUUUAUAACGAAACUCAA